AUUGAACGCUGGCGGCAGGCUUAACACAUGCAAGUCGAGCGAGCGGCGGACGGGUGAGUAAUGUAUGGGAAACUGCCUGAUGGAGGGGGAUAACUACUGGAAACGGUAGCUAAUACCGCAUACCAUCAGAUGUGCCCAGAUGGGAUUAGCUUGUAGGUGGGGUAAUGGCUCACCUAGGCGACGAUCCCUAGCUGGUCUGAGAGGAUGAGCAGCCACACUGGGACUGAGACACGGUCCAGACUCCUACGGGAGGCAGCAGUGGGGAAUAUUGCACAAUGGGCGCAAGCCUGAUGCAGCCAUGCCGCGUGUGUGAAGAAGGCCGUCGGGUUGUAAAGCACUUUCAGCGGGGAGGCGUUACUCGCAGAAGAAGCACCGGCUAACUCCGUGCCAGCAGCCGCGGUAAUUC
rnacentral:rRNA from 1 species